rnacentral:rRNA from 1 species
CAAUCGCGUAUAUUUAAGUUGCUGCAGUUAAAAAGCUCGUAGUUGGAUUUCGGGUGGGAAUGGCCGGUCCGCCGUUUCGGUGUGCACUUGCUACGCCCACCUUGCUGCCGGGGACGUGCUCUUGAGUUCACGCUCGGGACACGGAGUCGGCGAGGUUACUUUGAGUAAAUUAGAGUGUUCAAAGCAGGCCUACGCUCUGAAUACAUUAGCAUGGAAUAACACGAUAGGACUCUGGCCUAUCUUGUUGGUCUGUAGGACCGGAGUAAUGAUUAAGAGGGACAGUCGGGGGCAUUCGUAUUUCAUUGUCAGAGGUGAAAUUCUUGGAUUUAUGAAAGACGAACUACUGCGAAAGCAUUUGCCAAGGAUGUUUUCAUUAA